rnacentral:lncRNA from 13 species
CCCAACGAUCCUCACCUCUUCGUAUUCACCCUCUUGUAAAUCCCUCCUCUUGUGUUGGAUCCAGGGACUUGCUUGUAACAAAUGGGCUAUGGCAAAAGUGAUGAGAUGUCAAUUUCUUAGGUAUGUUACAAAAGACUGUAGCUUCUGUAUCUUGCUCAUCUUCUGUCUCUGGCUCUUCCAGUGUGAUUACUCUGAUGCAGAGGGCCCCCUGGCAGGGACCUGAGGCCUUCAGUCCAACAGCCAGCAAGGAGCCGAGUCCUGCCAGCAACUAUAGGAGUGACCUUGGAAGUGCAUCCUGUCAUGUGCUGCACUAGCUAUGUAUUGUAGAGUUUCCUGGAUUCCCGUUCUUUUGACUCACUCAGAGUUCCAACCAGUACAGGAAUGAUGGUAAGCUCAUCCUUACGGUUCUCCAUGGCUUUAACAGUAUAAGACCAAUGUAUGUCAUACUGUGUUCAAGUUUUGGUUCUCCAUACAGCUUUUGCUCAAUAGGGAGGUCAUACAGAGGUGUCCUGUGUCUAUUCAUAUGCACAUCGACAGGGGACACAUGAUGGGAAGGCUGUAAGCACCAGUAAGAAAAAGACCCAUGGAGUGUGAUAAUGGCUCUGGAGAGUCUUUUUGUUAACCAAUCCUGUCUGUGAAAGCCACUCUUCUAGCUGUGCUUUCAGCUGAGGUCCCGAGACUGACUACCACUGUGUACAGCCAGAUCACUCGAUUGGCCAUCUGGUGCAAGAGGGUGAACUGAGUAGCAGCGGCGGCGGCGGCGGUGGCAGAAGCGGCUCCAAGAGGGACCAGGCACCGCGAGCCCAGCGCGGGUGGAGGAGAGGGGGAAGCGGUGACAAAGGAGGAAAAGAUGACAUCCGGGGCGGCGGCGCCAGAAGAUAGGGCCCGGAAAACCCUAGGUCCGGCCCUAGGAAUUCUCCUUGGCCCGCUGAGUCCACUGAACCUCCUCGCCGCUCCUUUCCUUCGGCUCAGACCGGCCCUGCACUAACCCAGUUCUCAACCCUGGGCUGGACCCUCCCGCCCAGCCCCCAAAGAAGGUGUUUUUUUGGUUUGUUUUUUUGAAAGGACCAAUAAAACAGAGAAAUUCUCAGCUAGCCUGAUUAAG